rnacentral:lncRNA from 1 species
GGUAACCCGUUCUGGUCCUUUUCCUGACUGUGGAAGCUUUGUUCUUUUGCUCUUUGCAAUAAAUCUUGCUACUGCUCACUCUUUGGGUCCAUGCUGCUUUUGUGAGCUGUAACACUCAUCGUGAAGAUCUGCAGCUUCAUUCCUGAGCCAGCGAGACCACAAACCCACCAGAAGGAAGAAACUGUGAACACAUGCGAACAUCGGAAAGAACAAGCUCCAGACGCGCCACCUUAAGUGCUGUAACAGUAACCGCGAGGGUCUGCGGCUUCAUUCUUGAAGUCAGUGAGACCAAGAAGCCACCAAUUCUGGACACAUCAUGAUGACCAGUGGUCCACUUUUGCAUAGCAAAGUGCACUGCAGCACAGUCUUCAAACAAUGCCUGCUGCAUAAAUAACCCUUCACAAACAUGCUUCUUUAACCUCCGGAGUGGUUAUGGGUUUUGGCAAGAAAGUCUGAGAUGUGACCAGCUGCAUAUAUUUUACCCUAAGACCUUGCUAUAGAAAGGAUGUUUUCUGGAGUGUCCAUCGUCUUGCAGCUCUCCCAGACGUGGCUUCUGUUGCUUAGUCCUUGUUCAAAAUUUCUUUUGGAGAAACUGGAUUUGUUAGCCACUUAUUUCAUUCAGCCUUUGUUCCAUAAAAGGGUCAUACAUGUAAAGUGGCUCCCAAACGCUGAAGGAGCCGAGAAACCAAAAACAAGGCAGAUAGAUCCAGUUUGUCAGUAAAUGGUGAUUUGCUGGGGAAUUUACAGACAGAAGUGUAGUCUUGGGUGGCAGCAAGUCAGGUAGAUCUCCACACCUGUUACCCCCAGACCCAGGGCUUACCCCGGAAAGGGUGUAUACUUCCUGUAGAGACAAUUAAAAGCAACCUUUCAGAACAGGCAGGAAUGCUAUGUGCGUCGUAGCCUGUAAUUUAUGCCAUAAUAUCAAG